AUGGACGCCGGUCGCCGGAGAUCCCCUGCUUCGCGCUACUCCCCUGCUCUCCCGCGCGUCCGCCGCCGCAGCUGCCUCCUCCGCCGCUCCCUUCUGCCUCGCGCAGCCCCCCAGCCUCCCUUGCCUGCCUCCCGAAUCUUCCCUCUUUUACCCAAAAAAUUGUUUCUUCUUCCUCCCGCCGCGUCUCCUGCUCGCGGCCACCCCUCCCUCCUAGCGUUGAUGGAAGAAGCAUGGCCGGCCCUCGGCCCGACGGCCUGCGACGCGGCCUUCCCACCCCCGCCCCGGCCCCCAUGGCGUGGGGCGCGGCGGGAGACGGUGGCCAAGGAAUCGUCCGCGCAGGCGGUGAGCAGAAUCGUGUCCAGCUGCGCCAACUCGAGCGGCCUGGCCGUGGCCGCCGUCGACGCCAACGCCGCCAUCUCGGGCGGCGCCGUGCUCGCCUCCACUGCGGGCCGGCAGGUCACGGUGCUCGAGGAGGUGUGCGACGCCGCAGCACGCCGGAGGCUCGCGCUCCUGCCCACCCCCGUCGAGACCGUCGACCUAACCCCUGAGUUCGUCAAGAGAGUAGGGCCAGCUUGA
rnacentral:rRNA from 1 species